UAGAAUCUUUAAGUUAUUAUCCAUAGACUCUCAUCAUUAUUAUUUUUUGAAUUUAAUGUUAAAUUAGAUUUUAAGAAAAAAAAACGUUUUUACAACUUGUGCAGUGAUAGAUUAAGCAACAUUACGUUUAAAUUUUUUUAGAGCUUUAGAGCUUGUUUAGUAUGUUCCUCUUGUGCUAAACCAAAGUUGGAGUCUUUUGUCAUAUCUUCUAUCUUCCUCAAAUCUUAUUGCCGAAAGUUGGUUUCGUAUGUGAGCAUCUAUCCACUUGAUUAGACGAUUUGCUGGGUUGGGAGGAUUAUCAUGCUUACGUCCAUUACGCUCUCGCCAAAUAGUAUGUACGACCCGACUCAUAAUAUUUUUGGGCCUUUGGCAAAAUAAAAUUAAAACUAAAACCUUUUAAGUAAUUUUUUUAAUAUAAAAAUGGGCUUUUUUCCUUUAAGAAUCUUUUGAAUUUUGUAAUGGACCCAUGACAUUUGCGUAAUAGUCUACCAUGGAUUAGAGACAGUCCUGUGUACGGAUGCCUGCAGAACUAAUCGAGCUAGGUAACCCUCCACACGGUCAUUCCACUGAGCUGAAGCUUGGCUAAGAAUAGUCAACCAGUCCGUUAAGAACCUCUACCCGUAUAUAUUUUUGGCCAUGGCCUCUCAUCAUUAGUCAAGAACAACCACAAUUUCUUC
rnacentral:sRNA from 1 species